ACGAUUAGGAUGGUGGAACAACCAAGCCUAAUCCUAACUGAUACACAAACACUUUAACAGAGACUAUUUAUAAAAAUAUAUUACAAAACCACUCAUAAUGUCAAAGUACUAUGAAUGGUGCCCCCUAGAGUUGUGCUAUGGAAAGGUCCUGAAAGCUGAAACUUGAUAAUUAUUCCUAUCAGAGUCAGGAGGAAACAGCUGCUUACCAUAUCUACUCCUUUUCAAUAUUGUAUCUGAAGUAUAAGUUAAUGUAAUAAGGCAAGAAAAAUACAUAAUAUAAGAAUUUAAAAGCAGAAAGAAAGCUGUUCUUAUUUUCAGAUGAUAUAAUAGUCCGUAGGACACUUUAUAAACUAUUAGAAUUAAUGAGUGAUCACUAAGCUGGAUAUAAGACCAACAAACAAAUCAAUAGCCUACUUAAUCACCAGUAAUAGACAAUUAGAAAUGUAAUCUUCAAAAAUGUCAUAUUUGCAAAAAUGUGUAGGAUGCCUGU
rnacentral:lncRNA from 10 species